CAGUAGUCACGUAGUUUGAUCAUGGCUNAGAACGACGCUGGCGGCAUGCCUAACACAUGCAAGUCGAACGAGACCUUCGGAUCUAGUGGCGCACGGGUGCGUAACGCGUGGGAACCUGCCUUUAGGUUCGGAAUAACUCAGAGAAAUUUGAGCUAAUACCGGAUGAUGUCUUCGGACCAAAGAUUUAUCGCCUUUAGAUGGGCCCGCGUAAGAUUAGCUAGUUGGUGGGGUAAAGGCUCACCAAGGCGACGAUCCUUAGCUGGUCUGAGAGGAUGAUCAGCCACACUGGGACUGAGACACGGCCCAGACUCCUACGGGAGGCAGCAGUGGGGGAAUAUUGGACAAUGGGCGAAAGCCUGAUCCAGCAAUGCCGCGUGAGUGAUGAAGGCCUUCGGGUUGUAAAGCUCUUUUACUCGGGACGAUAAUGACGGUACCGAGAGAAUAAGCCCCGGCUAACUCCGUG
rnacentral:rRNA from 1 species